GAUGAACGCUAGCGGCAGGCUUAAUACAUGCAAGUCGUGGGGCAGCAUGAGUAGCAAUACUUGAUGGCGACCGGCAAACGGGUGAGGAACACGUACACAACCUUCCUUCAAGCGGGGAAUAGCCCAGAGAAAUUUGGAUUAAUACCCCAUAAUAUAUUUGAUAAGGCAUCUUAUUAAUAUUAAAGCUUCGGCACUUGAUGAUGGGUGUGCGGCUGAUUAGAUAGUUGGCGGGGUAACGGCCCACCAAGUCUACGAUCAGUAGCUGAUGUGAGAGCAUGAUCAGCCACACGGGCACUGAGACACGGGCCCGACUCCUACGGGAGGCAGCAGUAAGGAAUAUUGGACAAUGGACGAAAGUCUGAUCCAGCCAUGCCGCGUGAAGGAUUAAGGUCCUCUGGAUUGUAAACUUCUUUUAUAUGGGACGAAAAAAGGGCAUUCUGUUCACUUGACGGUACCAUAUGAAUAAGCACCGGCUAACUCCGUGCC
rnacentral:rRNA from 1 species